CUAAGAUUCAAUCCCAGGCCCUCUAUAAGAGCAGUGUCCUUAACCACCAAGCCACCUCCCCAGCCCCAAGCAUUCCUUGUGUGACUAUCACUACUCACCAGUUCUUCUGUUCAUGAGUAUUUGGUCAUCUUCAAUUCGAGGGCUAUUAUAGGCCGGGCUGGGAGCUUUCUCAUACUUCACUUUGGUAUGUAUACAUUUACUACUGUUGUUACUUUAGUUACAGGAAGAGUCCACAGUCACUAACAUCUCUGUCUCAGUUCUUCUGGGAUGCAGUAACAAAGAGAAACACACUAGGCAGCUUAUAUAACAUGGGCACUACUUUCUCUCUAUUCUGUAAAGUGAUUCUAUCCAAAAUUCGGCCUUUCUGUGCACUCUAUUAUUUAGCCUUCUGACUUCAUUUUUCUUCAUCUUACAGAUGAGGCAACUGAGACACAGAGAGCUCAAGCAUCCCACUCAAAACUACAUGAGCCUGGGUGGUUCAGCAGAUAAGGUGUUUUUGUUCCAAGGUCCUGACAACCUGACUUGGAUCUCUGGAACCCACCUACGGGAAGGAGAGAACUGGCUUCCACAAGUUGUCCUCUGAUCUCCAUUCACCUGUACACGUAUAUACAUGUGAAAAGAAUAAAUAGAUAAAUAAAUACAAUAAUAAUAAGAAAAUCCCCUCACAGGUACAGCAGGAGGAGCUACAGUGGAGCCCAAAGGAUCUGGGAGCAGAGACUGAGCUCUUUGUCACUUACAAUGUCUCCCAUUCCCAACUUCCCCAGUGCUGGGGAAGAGAACCUAGAAAUUGUCUAAGUGAAAAAGUCAUCCCCGACACCGACUGACUUCUAGCUGCAAACCUAAUCAUUCACUGAGAUUCUAUAAUAUGUCUUCUCAUUUUCCCUCAAAUCUAGACUUAAAUUAUUCAUGUCCAUCCUGAAUGUGUUAUCAUUUCCUGAAUGAUCUACUGUGUCUCUCUGCAUCCUUCAGAGCACAGCUGGAACUGUAAUUCAGGUUGCAAAAACAACCUUAAUUCUUUUUUACUUUUUUUCCCCCAAAACGGAGUCUCGCUAUGCAGCCUUAGCUGGUCUGGAACUUGCCGUGUAGAACAGGCAGGUCUUAAAUUCACAGGGAUCUCCUCUGUCUCUCCAGUGAUGGGAUUAAAUAUGUGACUACCACAACUGGUUCCAAUCUCAAUUUGCUAAUUUGAAACUAAACCUUGGCAUUGUUUGGGGACGAAGUUGAGACGGGAACACAAGUCGUGAUACCUUGCAGGAGCAAUGAGGACCUCAGACCCUCUGCUCUGCCUCAACCCAUUGCAGCAGGCUGUAGUAAUACAGAUGAACAGAAGGGGGCAGCAUGCUGCUGGGCUAAAACUGCAACGCAGGGAUAGAAGUAUUCAGGAAACUUCUGAACAUUGGGCUUCCCCGUAAUAUCUGCUGAGCUUCUGUUGGAGAGUAACUGUCUGUGCUCCCCAGCCCCAGUCCCCUGAGGCCAGGGACUAUGUCAUCACCUUUAUGCAUCAGUAGUUUGCAAUGGUGUAUCCUAGUGAGGCUGGACUAAACUGCACCAAGGCCAGAAGGUGACCUGUCUGGUGGAGAAAGUGGAGUACUGAAAUCCCUGAUAUUCCUGAUUUGGGGUUAAUCUGGGUCCUGAAGUCUACCUGCAUGCUUUGUACAGAUUUGGAGGCACCAGAGUUUAGAACAUUGCCUCUUGGUUGUACGUAGCCAUCUCUUUGACCACCCAGUGGGUGGUGCUCUUUGGGGAGGCUGUGGAACCUUAGAGGGUGGAGCCUGCCUUGCUGGAGGAAGUGCAUCCUAACUGCCUGGAAGCCAGUCUAGUACUAGCAGCCAUCAGAUGAAGAUGUAGAACUCUCAGCUCCUCCUGCACCAUGCCUGCCUGGAUGCUGCCAUGCUCCCACCUUGAUGAUAAUGGACUGAACCUCUGAACCUGUAAGCCAGCCCCAAUUAAAUGGUGUCCUUUAUAAGACUUGCCUCAGUCAUGGUGCCUGAUCACAGCAGUAAACCCUAACUAAGACACCAUCAUUUCAUUCAGCAGUAUGUUUGUGCUUUCUUGGACAUUUACCAGGAAUUUAUCCCUCUCCUCUUUAAGGUCAUUCAAUAGUUCAUGUUCUCUGUACAAUUCUUGAAUUCUUUUAUCAUGUUUACAAUUUUUCUCUUAAAUUCUCUGUCUUGGAGUUCAUCUAGACAAUUCUAAUUGAAGAACAAUUUUACUUUGGGGGGGUUGGUAGUGGUGAGGGACAUAUUGUCAUAGUUUUUCAUAUUGUGUUUUGUGUGAUGUGACCUGAGCAUAUAGCUUGCUUUAUUGACUAUAUGUCUGUAUGUCUAUAUGUUUGAAAUGACAAUCUAACGGUCUCUGUUGAGUGGAAAUUUUGCCAAUUUUCAAACUUGGUUGAUUUUAGAUUAGAAAUGAAGAGUUUGUAGGUCAAUCCUUUGGGUAUUCAGUGUUAAUUUUUGAUUGGAGAUACUGGGUUGAUUCCAAUUUCAUGGGAACUGAAGAGCCUGCAAAUGGGCUCAAACUGAGCAUAAAAGGGCACUGUGCAUCCACGGAUCCGGGACAGACUCACUGAUUGAGAGUGAGUUCAACUCCCUACUGGACCUGGGCAAGAAGGGGUGGUACUGAACAGACUCAUGAUGAGAGCAUGUGUGGGUGCCAUCUGGGAAUGGAGGGAUGCAGGCAAAGGUCUGGGAUGGCUAUUGCAGGGAGUAUGCACAGAGGUUGGACUCCUGGUUGGGUCUGGGCAUAGGGGUGGCAAGGAAACAGGUCUAAGGAACUCAC
ensembl:lncRNA